rnacentral:rRNA from 1 species
ACGCUGGCGGCGUGCCUAAUACAUGCAAGUAGAACGCUGAAGAGAGGAGCUUGCUCUUCUUGGAUGAGUUGCGAACGGGUGAGUAACGCGUAGGUAACCUGCCUUGUAGCGGGGGAUAACUAUUGGAAACGAUAGCUAAUACCGCAUAACAAUGGAUGACACAUGUCAUUUAUUUGAAAGGGGCAAAUGCUCCACUACAAGAUGGACCUGCGUUGUAUUAGCUAGUAGGUGAGGUAACGGCUCACCUAGGCGACGAUACAUAGCCGACCUGAGAGGGUGAUCGGCCACACUGGGACUGAGACACGGCCCAGACUCCUACGGGAGGCAGCAGUAGGGAAUCUUCGGCAAUGGGGGCAACCCUGACCGAGCAACGCCGCGUGAGUGAAGAAGGUUUUCGGAUCGUAAAGCUCUGUUGUAAGUCAAGAACGAGUGUGAGAGUGGAAAGUUCACACUGUGACGGUAGCUUACCAGAAAGGGACGGCUAACUACGUGCCAGCAGCCGCGGUAAUACGUAGGUCCCGAGCGUUGUCCGGAUUUAUUGGGCGUAAAGCGAGCGCAGGCGGUUUGAUAAGUCUGAAGUUAAAGGCUGUGGCUCAACCAUAGUUCGCUUUGGAAACUGUCAAACUUGAGUGCAGAAGGGGAGAGUGGAAUUCCAUGUGUAGCGGUGAAAUGCGUAGAUAUAUGGAGGAACACCGGUGGCGAAAGCGGCUCUCUGGUCUGUAACUGACGCUGAGGCUCGAAAGCGUGGGGAGCGAGCAGGAUUAGAUACCCUAGUAGUCCACGCCGUAAACGAUGAGUGCUAGGUGUUGGAUCCUUUCCGGGAUUCAGUGCCGCAGCUAACGCAUUAAGCACUCCGCCUGGGGAGUACGACCGCAAGGUUGAAACUCAAAGGAAUUGACGGGGGCCCGCA